rnacentral:rRNA from 1 species
AUCAACUUUCGAUGGUAGGAUAGAGGCCUACCAUGGUGGUAACGGGUAACGGGGUGUUAGGGCACGACACCGGAGAGGGAGCCUGAGAAACGGCUACCACAUCCAAGGAUGGCAGCAGGCGCGCAAAUUACCCAAUCCCGACACGGGGAGGUAGUGACAAUAAAUAACAAUACGGGGUUCUUUCGGAUCUCGUAAUUGGAAUGAGUACAAUUUAAAUCUCUUAACGAGGAACAAUUGGAGGGCAAGUCUGGUGCCAGCAGCCGCGGUAAUUCCAGCUCCAAUAGCGUAUAUUAAAGUUGUUGCAGUUAAAAAGCUCGUAGUUGAAUUUCGGGGUUAGUAGGCUGGUCAUGCCACCGGUAUGUACUGGUCUUACUGAUUCCUCCUUCCUGAUGAACUGUAAUGCCAUUAAUUUGGUGUUGCAGGGAAUCUGGACUGUUACUUUGAAAAAAUUAGAGUGUUUAAAGCAGGCUAACGCUUGAAUACAUUAGCAUGGAAUAAUGAAAUAGGACGUUCGAUCCUAUUUUGUUGGUUUCUAGGAUUGACGUAAUGAUUAAUAGGGAUAGUUGGGGGCAUUAGUAUUCAAUUGUCAGAGGUGAAAUUCUUGGAUUUAUUGAAGACUAACUACUGCGAAAGCAUUUGCCAAGGAUGUUUUCAUUAAUCAAGAACGAAAGUUAGGGGAUCGAAGACGAUCAGAUACCGUCGUAGUCUUAACCACAAACUAUGCCGACUAGGGAUCGGAUGAUGUUAAUUUUUUAAUGACUCAUUCGGCGCCUUACGGGAAACCAAAGUGUUUGGGUUC